rnacentral:lncRNA from 1 species
GUGAGUACUUGAAGAGCUUGCAUAGGAGGUAGUCUUCAGAGACUCCCUUGACUUUGAUAGCAUAUAUAAGAUACUUGAACCUCUCCAGAUGAAUGGCAGAUCUGUUGGUAUAGAACUGAUCUGGACGGUUGUAGUCAGCCAACGUUCUGGGUCGAGCAGCCUCAUCUGCAGGUAGAGUAGUGCCUGUAGCAUCAUUAUCAUACUCAGGGAUUGAAGCCCCAUGAGCACCUAUCUUCUGGCCUGCUGCAUUAUGCUGACGACCUUCCUGGUCAUGCAGGUCUCCCCU